rnacentral:rRNA from 1 species
UACGGAAGGCAGCAGUGGGGAAUAUUGCACAAUGGGCGAAAGCCUGAUGCAGCUAUGCCGCGUGUAUGAAGAAGGCCUUAGGGUUGUAAAGUACUUUCAUCGGGGAGGAAAAACAAAACUAAUAAUUUUAUUUCUUGACGUUACCCGAAAAAGAAGCACCGGCUAACUCCGUGCCAGCAGCCGCGGUAAUACGGAGGGUGCUAGCGUUAAUCAGAAUUACUGGGCGUAAAGAGCACGUAGGUGGUUUUUUUAAGUCAGAUGUGAAUCCCUGGGCUUAACCUAGGAACUGCAUUUUGAAACUGAAAUACUAGAGUAUCGUAGAGGGAGGUAGAAUUCUAGGUGUAGCGGUGAAAUGCGUAGAUAUCUGGAGGAAUACCUGUGGCGAAAGCGGCCUCCUAAACGAAUACUGACACUGAGGUGCGAAAGCGUGGGGAGCAAAACAGGGAUUAGAUACC